rnacentral:rRNA from 1 species
AUGGUCCAAGCAGGCCUCAAGGAUGAAUUUGAUGCGUAUGUACGUAAUGCUGAUCUUGAGGACUUCGUAUCAGAUAAGUGCCGACAAUACUAUUACCUCACUGACUCCUUUGUGAGGAGGUUUAAAUUUUCAUCCACGCGCAACACUCACACUGUUUUAUUUGAUCUCUAUGAUAAAUAUUAUAGCAUAGACCUUGAAGAUUUUAAUACUACUUGUAAAAUCCCACAGUGGGGCAACUUUAGUGAACCUCGCAAAUCUGAAUAUAAAGAUUUUCUCGCUGGUAUCACUGUGGGAGAAACUAGAGAAAUCACACAAGCUACCAUAGGGAGCAUUCUUUUCCCUUCCAUACAUUACUUUGCUCUCUUUAUAGGUAGAUGCAUUAACGGUAAAGAUGAGGUUUGUCACAUGUGCGUUCCAGAUCUUAGUGUUCUCAAGAGUGCGGUAUUAGGUGAUAAACAAUAUAACUUGGGGGCCAUUAUUGCACGGAGGUUACAUCUUAAUGGCAAAAGUGGGGAUUUGUUCGGUGGAAUUUAUGCAAUUGGUUUAGUUGAUUAUCUUGGUGUACCUAUAAAUGGAAAUGAUAUUGAGCUGCCACCUGCUUAUCUAGAUUAUAAUGCUAUGGUUCUCCAUCAGUUUCUUGAGAGGAACGAAUAG